rnacentral:rRNA from 1 species
AUACGGAGGGGGUUAGCGUUGUUCGGAAUUACUGGGCGUAAAGCGCACGUAGGCGGACUGGAAAGUUGGGGGUGAAAUCCCGGGGCUCAACCCCGGAACUGCCUCCAAAACUUCCAAUCUAGAGAUCGAGAGAGGUAAGUGGAAUUCCUAGUGUAGAGGUGAAAUUCGUAGAUAUUAGGAGGAACACCAGUGGCGAAGGCGGCUUACUGGCUCGAUACUGACGCUGAGGUGCGAAAGCGUGCGGAGCAAACAGGAUUAGAAACCCCAGUAGUCC